UCUAUGAUCAUCAGAGAUACUGGCCUAUAGUUUUCUUUUUGUGUAGUGUCCUUAUCUGGUCUUGUUAUCUGGGUAAUGGGGGCCACCUACAAUGAAUUUGAAAGCUUUGCUUCCUCUGUUUUGGAAUAGUUUGAGACUAACAGCAUAAGGUGGUCAACCCAUUCAUUGUUUGGUAGCAUGUUCUUUAGGCUUCAUGUAUUUGUGUUCUUGUUUUUUUUUGGCAGGGCGGAGGGGGUAGUUGUUUGCUAGUUUUAUACUGUUGUGCUCAGAAAAGAUCCAGGAUAUGAUUUCAGUGUUCUUGAAUGAAUUGAGAUUUGUUUUGUGACCUAGCAUGUGAUCUAUUCUGGAGAAUGUUCCAUGUGCACUCAAAAAGAAUGUAUGCCACUGUUUUGGGAUGGAAUGUUCUAAAUGUAUCUGUUUUGUCCAUCUGGUCCAGCGUGUUGUUCAAAGUCCUUGUUCCCUUGUUGAGUUUUCUAUCUGGAUGAUCUAACCAUUGAUGUCCAGAGUCCCUGUCGUGACCGAAUGUGGUUGGUGACAGCUGUGAGGCUGAUGACCCUCUUAGGACACAACGUGGGUUGCUUGGGCUCCACAUCAUUUGCUGUGAUUGCUCUUACGGCACCAGUUGAGGAGAAUCUCCAUCUAAUGCAUCGGUUGCCAGGACGGAGUCCGCGUCCACAGAGGGCGGUUAAGACAAUUCACUGGGAAGAACAACAAAUAGAAAAGUUCCACUUCCAAAAAUCUCAUUCUUUGAAAAUGCCUCUUCGGGGGUAUGUAUUAAAAAUAGCACAGUAUUUUCGAACACAUCUCAUCGCUUCUAAAUUUAAGAAACUUUUGCAAGUUCAUGCUCAGAAAUCUGCAGACCAGUCCUGUGAGCCAGGACAUGGGGAAGCAAGCACUGCAUCAAAGAGGCUGACGUCAGAGCCUUGCUCUUCAAGCUGAGGCCCCUCGUAGCCCCCCUCCCCGCGCUCCUGACCCUCAGACAUGGCCCAGGUUCUCACCGAGCCCCCUCCUGAAACUUGGAUUUCACCAUCACAGAGGGGGUGUGUUUGUCUUCCACACCAGUGUUAAAGUGCCCACUUGGCUACUUCAGGGAGUCCAGAUGAUUUAGCGUAAGAAACAGAAGCUCACCAUCCCGCACCAAGUUUCUCUCUAGGCCUUCAUGGGCUUUGCAUCCAAAGAGUGCCGUCUGUUUCCCGAACGUGUGUGGUCUUUACCUCUGCCUUUCCCUCCCCCACCCCGAGUUUAUGGGCAAUAAUCUGCCUGGAACAAAAACUACAGUCAGAUUUCAGUCGUGAAGCACACAGACCUUGGAAGCAAACUACUUAGAACGAGUAGGAUACAGGCAGAGGAGAGGCCUUCCUCUCAAAGACUUGGGUGGUUAUUGGCAUCUUAACAAUAUUCGCGCACCUUUCAAUUGAGAACGAAUAAAAGUGCCAGGCACACGGUGAA